rnacentral:lncRNA from 1 species
GUCACUGUAGAACUGCUUGUUCCAAUUCCACAUGCUGCCUAUUUCCCCUUUUUAAUUAGGUUUUCAUUUCGGAACAAAAAAUGCUUAACUGAGACGUGUUUGGUUUCUUACUUCUCUAUUAAGUGUUUGUUUUUGUUGUGUUUGUGAUUUUCAGACAAUGAGAUGGAAUAAGCGAUGAAGAGGCAAUGUAAAAUUAAUUUGUAUGGAACUGCUUUUCCACUGAAGGAGGAGCUUGACAAGCAAAUAUUGUCUAGGUACCUGCUUUUGGAUUCGAUUAAUCUAUUGCAUAUUUUGGUAUAGUUUCUUAGAGUGUUUCGAAAUUUAAAGCGUUUCAGUAGUGAUAAUUUGACAUGAGUCCCUGUUUGUGUCGAUGGUUGCUGGUUAAUCCAUUCCUUGAUUUUCAGGCACAAAUCAUAUGCAUCUCUAUAUACGGGGCAUGGUGUAAGACCCGAGUUUUUAUUUGGUGUAUUUUGUUGAGAUGCAUGCUAUAUUUUUGUAAGAGUCGACUAUGGAUAGUUUGCUAAAUGAUAUAGACUCCAUAUACUUCUUGUUGGUCUAUGGUUUGUGACCGAUGAGCUUGAUUGCAAAUAUAUGUUAAGACUACAUGUUUCCUCUAAUUGCUAUAUGUAGUUGAUGGUGUGAGACUAAAUUUUUCCUUGGGAGGGCUGGAUGUGUAUAAAACACAAACAUUUUCUUUAAGUAAAGGAGAGAGAAAACAACAAGGAAGAAAGGAGUGAACGUGAGAGUUUUGGUGUGCAUUUGAGAGGCUGAGAAUCCAAGAGAAACAUGAGGCUUAAACCAACAAAGAAGGGACUGGGAAACUUAAGAGAAUCAGAGAACUUUGGCAGGAGAAAUUGGUAAGGGGAGCUGGCAGAAUCUUGUAUCCUGUGAUUUUUGGCAUGAUGAUUAUGAAUGAGUAUACAUAUUUGUGGUUGGAUGCGUUUCUGAUAUUGUUAUUACUAUCAUUAUGGACUUCUUUGAUGCAUUUUUUUUGCUAUACGUAUGAGUUGUAGAUGAUUUACAUGGUAAGCAUGUGUUGAUAUGUGUUUAAUAUGUGGAUGAUGGUUUGCAUGUAAAAGUUUAUUGUUGUAGUAAGACUUUAAUAAAAAUGGAAAUAGUACUCUAAGACAGCCAGAUGAGUUUGGCAAAGUAAAACUUUGGUAGAGGUCGCUGAAUUUGGUUGAAAGAUGAACUAAGUUGGAAGUAGUUUGUAGUGGUGCAAAUUCUGGAAAAUGUUUACAGAUGUUGGAGAGUUUUUCGGAAUGGUGCAAUAUAUCUUAUGAUGUAGUAACCUUUAGAUGGUUGUUCCAUUGCUUAAAAUUCCUAGAGAACUUUAUCUCAAAGGUUAGCAGAAAAAUUAAAAUGGAGAGGCAGAGUUAAUUGGCUGAACUUUUUAUGAGAAUUCAGCUUUCCGUUUGCUUG